AGAUUUGUGACUAGAAUUCGGACAGGGGUGCACAACCGAGAAUCGCGAUUCCCCGUCACAGGUCUUAACCGUGAGAGCUCAUCCUAAGGUGCCACCCACGCGGCAUCAUCUUCGGCGUGCCUCGCGAUCGCUGCACCCGUCACAUCGCCGUCUAUGGCCGCAAUGGGCCCCUCCGCGUCCGACCGACCUCACCGCGACGACGGGCAGCCUCUUCCUCCAUCGCUUCUUUUCGUUCAAGCCCAGUCGCGCCAUCCCGGCGGAAAAAGCGCAUAUGGCCUCUCCGCCAGGCAGAUCUUCGUCGGUGAUCAUGCCGCUUCUCCCCGCCUGGUCCUGGCGCGGCGUCGUCGUCGCCGUCGUCGGUUAUCAGGAUCCUUGCCUCGGGGACGAUGAUAGAGGGGAUCGUCUCGUGCUCCAAGUACGGAGGUGGCCCUACUUUUGUCGGGCUGGUCUUCAGUACGCUCGAUCCAUUCAGCACGGGGUUCAUGGUGAUCACCUUCUGAUUCGAUAUCCGCUUCAUCGUCAUCUCCAAGAGAAAAAAAGAUAGAUGAAUUGUCAAUUGAGAUUGUUCUCUGUGAGAGGCGUGUGUGCGCAUGCACGCAUUGUGAUGUCUCUCACUUCUCUUGGUAAUGGGCGAUUGGCAUGCUCUAAUACACAGGUUUCUGUAUGUUUCUUUAUUUCUUAGCUUGAGAAAAACGGAGCGCAGGAAAGUCAAAAUAGAUUUGUCGGAUGCGAUUGUUCUCGAUCAGAGGCAUGUGACAACGUUGUUUUACUUCAAGUUCAACUAGGCACCUUUUUCUGAUUCAAGUGCUUCUACAGCAUUUCCUUCUCGUCGAUGCUUUAAUUCUAAUCGCAGUUUAAAUAGUUUCUUUCUGUUAAUAUCUGUGCUAAAACAAAUUUAACAUUUAAUGAUACUUUGUGUAUUCAUGAUUCCAUGUAGGCCUAUCCACAGCUUUGGUAUGAUGGUUCACCAGUUACGAGCCAAAUCGGAACCAGCCCUAGGAGGUUCAGUUUCGGUUCAUAGGUUUAAAAAACAGGAACCAUCUGUUCCGAAACUGACGACUGUAGUUUUAAAUUAUUUUUUAUUAUUCAACAACAAUAAUCAGAACCGGCGAUUCUGGUGUCAGUUCGAACCAUCGAUUCUGUAAUUUUGAAUUAUUUUUUAUUAUUCAACAAUAACUUUAUAAUUUUUCAUAUUGUAAAAUAUUUUAAUUAAAAAUAAUAAAAAAACUGGUGGUUCAAAUCGGAACCGCCUGGCGCUUGCUGGUUCGGUUCCGGUUCCUAGUUUUGGGGAACCGGAACCGUUGGUUCCGGAACCAAAGCGGCUGGUUCUGGAACCAGAACUGUGGUCAGGCCUGAUUCUAGGUUUAUGCUAUGCUUCUUUGAAAAAAGUUUGCUGGAGAGCAUCCUUGAUGCUUCAGUUGAUUAUCACAUUUUUUAGCCAAAACUGACACAUGCAAUGGCAGCAGGAUGUUAAUUAUUGAUAAAUUGACAGCAAAUGUAAUCGAGAAAUACAGUGACCUCUUGUUUGAGCGUCCAGAGAUGCUACUACACCUGCACAAGUUUUCUUUUUAUGCAUUUUAGUUUAUUUCUGAUCUUUACUCAGAGACAUAUUAAUAUAUUGUCCAGGUUUUUGCUCUUAUUUCUAUUCUUUUUAUACUAUCACAUCAACAUCAGUCUUGCUGCUCAUGAAGCACAGGAUCAACAAAUGAUGGAUGAAAUGGGACAAUAUGGAAUACCACUUAGUGUCUUGUCAACCAUUGCUGAGAUUCAGUUUCUUGAUGUUGUUGACAAAGUACUAGAAAACAGAGUGUUUGAGAAAAACCUCUGGUAUUCAGCUUAAAUUUCCUCAUCUGGUCGACUCAUUUGAAGAAAGGUAUGUAAGUUGCUCUGUGAUAGCAAGCAGUUGUUCAUAUCCUGAUGACUUAAUUCCAGGUCAUUUUUUGUUUUCACUUCAAAUGGACAUCCAUGACCUUGGCUCAAUCCGAGUUUGAUUGCCACUAAGAUAAUAAGCACUGGGCCAUGGCUUUAUUGUACAAGUUCAGCUUGCAAGUUAUUAGGCUUGCAACUGAACUGCCUUCAUGGCCUAGCUGCCACUGCUCUUGCGAUCCCUGUCUAUGUGGCCUUUGGCACCCUGUAAGAACAUUAUUUGUUUCCUCUUUGCCCUUGCUCGGUUGGUGUAGUUAUGUGUGAAAUGAAACAAAAUGUUUCUUUCAUGGUUCUUAGGUAACUAGUGAAUCUCAGGUUGUUCAAGUUAUUUUUUCUCAAAGGGCAAGAAAAAAUGUUAUUAUACAGUUCUUCACAGCCUGUUUGGAUGUAAAAAAGCCAGUUAUAUAUGGUUGUUUCUGAAACGUUUAGAGCAAAGCCAGCUGUUCAUGUUUUAUAUUAGAAUAGAUUAUAGACUCAUGAUUUAGGCUAGCCUAAUAUCACAAAGAAUCAGCUAACCAAAUGUCCUUUCAUGUUAUGCUAUCGUAUUUUUUAUGGUCAUCCAUUGAUCUACUACAAACCAAGAUCGUCGCAACUGGUAUCGCCUAGUUGCUUGUUUGUCGUUAUUGUUUAUUAGAGUUGACGUCCGGCUGGUUAGAGAGAGGGAUUUAGGUGGAGAUGCAUGGCUGUACAAUUCUAAAUCUCUAAUGUCUUUCUGUUUUAGGUAUAUACGACGACAAUUAAUUUUUAUGAUCUGGCUUGUGGAGGGUAAUUGGAGAGAUGCAGUUUAGGAUUCAAUUCAAAACCAAAACCAAAAACAAUAAGAACAGAAAGGAAAAGAAGAAAGAAAAACGAAAGAAGGGGGAAAGAAAAAAAGAAAGUCUCAUUGGUCAUCUGGUUGCUACUAUCAAUAUAAAAUCUUGUAUAUCUUGCUGAGAUGCCCCAUCUUAUUGGAUCGUGCUGUAUGUUAGCAAGUCUUGUAUUUGUUAAUUGAUCUGUUUCUAUUUGUGUCAUCUUGUUCAUUAUUUCUUGGUUUGAUUUCAUUAUGGUAUGUGGUAGUACUGUACGGUUGGUUUUUCCUUUCAGGAGUGCCACUUCAUCAUUAAGGUCUCCUUCGUUGGCCACCACAGUUCCAAAUACUAAGGCUUUAAUAAAGAGCGACCCAGUUUGCAAUUUGAUACUUGGAACUUGGUUCAUAUGAUAACCUACAAGGAUGCCAUGCUCAGUCACGAAGUUGACCAAUUUUUAACCUCCAUUUCUAGAUCCCUGGUCUAGACAACAACAGAAACGGCGAUUCUUGACAACCAGACCAAGUCAAAUUCAAGAUCUGAAGGUGUUGCCCCGAAUGAACUUUCACUGAUCCCCUUCUUCCAAAGAUCACAAUGGUUGGCAUCUCGAUGGGUGAUGGGCAGAUGACCAAAGCAAACUUGAAGAAGACGAUGAAAUACCUGACAAAGGGGUUAGAGCAAGCAAACCACCAGUGAAAACUCAUCCAAGAAAUUGAUCCUCUGUUCACAGCAAAUGUGGUUGGUUACUUUUGACAUCACAAGGCUGGGCUCUUUCUGACGUAGAAAACACUGAAAUAACUUACCAUGUUCCUGAUCCAUUCUUGACUCAUGCCGCACGAGUACACUCUUAUAAAGGGACUCGAUUGGGGAGACUCAUCUUUGUUGCCAAGCAAUAAAUCUUGUGGUAAGUGGGGGACAGCAGGGGUUGAUCACUGAUCCAAUUCCACUCUUAGGUAUCUGGACAUACUACCAGGUGGGGAGCCAAUGGUUAAGCAUGCAUACUGUGGAUAUCCACUAUAUCUCUUUCAAUUUCGGAAGGCGGAUUUACCUGCCAUAUAAGUUCACGGUGGCACCGGCACCAACCAUGGCCGUCAGGUUGCUGUGUGGUAGCUGCUAUGCAACAUACAGUCCCAAGAAGAUCAUGUUGGAGGCUCGAUGUCAGUACCGCUGAUUCGCGGAAUGAACACCGAAGUCGACCGCAGGCUAAUCAGGUAUUGUUAUCCAGCACAUUUCUAAGUCUCAGGAAUCACUGAUGCUAUAAACAGUUGCAAUGUGGCCUCUGGACCCUGUUCAUGGGGCACCACCAUUCAUCCAGAUCACGACCACUUCCGGUGCCAUCCUCGUAAUAAUUCGAGCUUUUCGGCGUGGAGCCGAGUGUUGUUACAACAGUUAUAUGCACUAGGGUGAUGCUCUUGCUUGUGAAGCAAUGAUGGGAAUAACUCUUUUCCCUUUAUAUA